rnacentral:rRNA from 1 species
GACGAACGCUGGCGGCGCGCCUAACACAUGCAAGUCGAACGAGAGAUGAGGAGCUUGCUCUUCAAAUCGAGUGGCGAACGGGUGAGUAACGCGUGAGGAACCUGCCCAUCAGACGGGGACAACGAUUGGAAACGAUCGCUAAUACCGGAUAGGACGAAAGUUUAAAGGUGCUUCUGGCACCGCUGAUGGAUGAGCCUGCGGCGCAUUAGCUAGUUGGUAGGGUAAAGGCCUACCAAGGCGACGAUGCGUAGCCGACCUGAGAGGGUGAACGGCCACACUGGGACUGAGACACGGUCCAAACUCCUACGGGAGGCAGCAGUGAGGAAUAUUGGUCAAUGGGCGAGAGCCUGAACCAGCCAAGUAGCGUGAAGGAUGACUGCCCUAUGGGUUGUAAACUUCUUUUAUAAAGGAAUAAAGUCGGGUAUGGAUACCCGUUGCAUGUACUUUAUGAAUAAGGAUCGGCUAACUCCGUG